UUUCGGAAUGAAGACAUGCUCUGGCAGUAGCCGCAAUUGCCCUGGAAAUAGGCCUUCAAGUUUGAUUUCCCCCCCCAAUUGAACGCUUACCCCUUCUCCCAUCUCUCCAGUGGCAACCGAAUCGGCGAUGGAAACUAAGCACAAUCGCAUGAUCAUCCGAACAGCAAUGGCCUCGAGGCUCCUCCUGAUUUCCCUAAUCGUUCUAUGGCGGAGUCUCCUCCGUCCCUACGACACUUCCGCCUCCAUAAACCCUACCUGCCUCUCUUCUUCUUCUUCUUCUUCGCCGCCGAUUCUCUUCCCUCGAAUUGCGAGGGCGAUCGAGGACAGCAUCGUGUGGGACAGCGUCUAUUUCGUCCGCAUCGCUCAGUGUGGAUACGAGUAUGAGCAGUCCUACGCCUUCUUUCCUCUCCUCCCUCUUUGCAUUUCUCUCUUCUCCCACACAGUGUUCGCACCGUUGAUUCCAGUUAUUGGAUAUAGAGCUGUCUUGGGGUUAUCUGGAUAUGUAAUUAACAACAUUGCGUUUGUCUUGGCUGCAAGUUACCUGUACAAGCUUUCAGUUAUUAUUUUGAAGGACCGAGAGGGAGCACUGAGAGCAACGAUUUUGUUUUGCUUCAAUCCAGCUUCUAUUUUCUACUCCUCAAUAUAUACUGAAAGUUUAUACUCUUUGUUUUCGAUUGGGGGAUUGUAUCAUUUAAUGUCUGGUGCAGAUCAUUUUGCUACACUUUUGCUUGCUCUCUCAGGGGCUACAAGGUCAAAUGGGGUGAUUAAUGCAGGUUAUCUUUGUUAUCAGACCAUGCACAAGGCUUAUGAUGCUCUCUUUUGUAAAAGGCAUUUCUAUUUGACAGUGCAGGUUCUUACUGCUGGAGCUCUGCAUUGUCUUUGUAUUCUUGUACCCUUCAUUGCUUUUCAAGCAUAUGGAUACUGGAAUAUUUGUCUUGGACACAUUCCAGUUGAAACGAGGCCAUGGUGCACGGCAAGAUUUCCUCUACUGUACAAUUAUAUUCAAAGUCAUUAUUGGGGAGUGGGGUUUUUGAGAUAUUUCCAAGUAAAACAGUUGCCAAAUUUCCUCCUUGCAUCUCCAAUAUUGUCUUUGGCACUUUGCUCAAUCGUCCAUUAUGUAAAUCUACGUCCGGAAGUUUAUAUUUCACUGGGUUUCCGAGGUUCUCCUGAGAAUAAAAACCUAGUGCCCACGACUUUUCCUACAGUCACAGACAAAAGAGCAGAUAGUGGUUACACUCUGGCUGCACCCUCUUCUGGGAUAGAGCAAGAGGAUCAGAUUCUUAGACGGAGGAAACGAGCAAUCAAGGGAUACGUUCCUGUUACUCUUCCGGUAGAAAAUGAAUUUUCUGAUAAGCUUGUCCUUCCUUUUAUUCUACAUCUGGGAUUCAUGGCAGCCACAACGUUUUUUGUCAUGCAUGUGCAGGUCGAUCCCACACUAAUCCCUCUUUAUUAUAAAUUAUAAUUGCAAAAUAUUCAAAAGUUUGAGUGGAGACAGUCUACUGACCUUUGUGAGUAGACUGAAAAGUUUAAUUGAACAAUUUAAGCAGAUCUUCUAGUUUUGGUUUGUAACUGCUUAAUAUUUACUAGCUAAAAUUACUGUUAUGCACUUCAAAUGGCCAGAGGAAUUCCCUUCACUUUUGGGAAGGAAGUUAGCUAGAGAAUACCCUAAGAACAUUCAAAAUAUGACUUUGUCGGUUAAAUCAUCUCUUGGGUUUCAGUACAUGGAUAUGUUUUUUCAUCUCCUCAGAUUUGCUGAAAACCAGACUUGCUACUUCAUUUGGGGUCUGUUAUUCCCACUUCAAAAAUUACUAAUUGCAUUCAAUUGUAAUGUGGUAAAAUUACGCUACAGUGGAGUGUGAUUAACGCUCUUGGAGUGGGAAUAACUUUUCCCCUUCAGUUCAAGUUCUAACAAAAGCUUCAAAUUACAUUCUUUUGGAAAUAGGACAUUGUUCCUGGUCAAAUUACAAAAGGUCGCAACUCGGUUCUUAUCUGCCAGUCCACCUCUCUACUGGUUCGCCUCAUAUUUAAUGGUCUCUCCUGGAACUG